UACGAAGGGUGCAAGCGUUAAUCGGAAUUACUGGGCGUAAAGGGUGCGUAGGCGGUUGUUUAAGUCUGUCGUGAAAUCCCCGGGCUCAACCUGAGAAUGGCGAUGGAUACUGGACAGCUAGAGUGUGUCAGAGGAUGGUGGAAUUCCCGGUGUAGCGGUGAAAUGCGUAGAGAUCGGGAGGAACAUCAGUGGCGAAGGCGGCCAUCUGGGACAACACUGACGCUGAAGCACGAAAGCGUGGGGAGCAAACAGG
rnacentral:rRNA from 1 species